AAACUGUAGUCUAAAGAGAGGCUUUGUUGUGAUUGUUUGUAUGAAAGAAUUGCACCUUCCAGCUGCUUAACUGCUCUGUGCAUGAGCCACGGGGGUUGUUCCUCCAACCCUUGGGCAGAUCAACUUUAGCGACAAGGAGAAACCCAGAAAAGUAGAUGCCUCCUUCUUGUUAACAGGACCUCAAACCUAUAGAGGCAGAGCCUGCACCUCGGAAUCCUAGAGGGGUUGGAGCCUCAAGCUGCAGCACAUCCCUAAAAACCAAAAGGCUCUCCUGUGAGUAGGUAGUCUCCCUUGUCAGUGGCCGAGAGCAGUGGCAAUGGGCCAGCAUUCCAGUGCACAGUGACCACAGCAGAAGGUAAAGAGAGUCCCUGGCAGCAAUUUCUCUCUCCCACAUUCGGCCCUCCCCCUAACUCUGACCUGAGUCCCGCUGAGAUAGUCACUAAAGCCAAAGCUCUGCUGCCUGGUUAGAAAGGAAAGUCCAGAGGGUGCUGAGGGGAGCUCUGCCCUCUGUUUAUCCAGUGUGGCCUGCCCCUGCCCUCCUCCCUCCCGGGAUCCUUAUCAGCUGUUUGUUCAAAAACCAUCACCCACCUGCCUGUACUUUAUACUAUCACCGCAUCCUUUUAUCUUGUGGAUGAUGUGCCUUGAUAUUUUGAGAAAAAUUUCCAGUAACAGAUUCGAUUUACAUGGACAGAAACUUGAGCAAACGCCAGACUAGCAGGGGGGCUAUUAUUCUGUUCUAUAAAUAAGUUUAGACCAGAAAACACUCACAGAAACCUGGGAAUCAACAUGUUUGGGUCUAAUUGAGGGGAAAAGCAAGAUAGAUAAAUUUUGAAAUGCAAAUGAUCACCUUCUGUUGUUUAAGAAUUGCUUCUGCCAACUUUGUGAUCUUGGAUUUAAAGCCACAGACCUCCAGCCAUGUCUACGAAGGCUCACAAGUUCCUGCAAAAAAAACUAAGAACUUG
rnacentral:lncRNA from 1 species